CUAGAUUGUUCUAUACUAUUCAGCAUCCACUGAUUUGCUGUGGGGAGGAGAAGCUUGAGCAUUCGACAUCCAGAAUGAGGGCUAAGUGGAAGAAGAAGCGUAUGAGGAGGCUGAAGAGGAAGCGCCGAAAGAUGAGACAAAGAUCUAAGUAGACGUUUGAGCUGAACCAAGACGAGGCUUUCCCUCUUGAUGCGUUGCCAGCUUUAUCACCAUUCAGGCAAUAGCCUGGUGAUUUUGGGGUGUGGAUCUUGAGGGGAGAUCUCUCUUUAGAGUUUGCUUUAUUGUUAUUACUACUGGAUUGAGUUAGUUGUUAUGUUGCGUUUGGCUUACUGAAACAUGUACUAGUUUUGCUAUAUAUCUUAUCUGAAUGGCACAUCGUUUAACCUUAUAAAAAUUGCGUAAUAGUUCGAUCCUUGA